UACGGAGGGUGCGAGCGUUAAUCGGAAUUACUGGGCGUAAAGGGCGCGUAGGCGGCUGAUCAAGUCAGGUGUGAAAGCCCACGGCUUAACCGCGGAACUGCGUCGGAUACUGUCUUGCUAGAGGACGGCAGAGGAGACUGGAAUUCACGGUGUAGCGGUGAAAUGCGUAGAUAUCGUGAGGAACACCGGUGGCGAAGGCGAGUCUCUGGACCGUUCCUGACACUCAGGGACGAAAGCGU
rnacentral:rRNA from 1 species